rnacentral:rRNA from 1 species
GUAGGUGGGGUAACGGCUCACCUAGGCGACGAUCCCUAGCUGGUCUGAGAGGAUGACCAGCCACACUGGAACUGAGACACGGUCCAGACUCCUACGGGAGGCAGCAGUGGGGAAUAUUGCACAAUGGGCGCAAGCCUGAUGCAGCCAUGCCGCGUGUAUGAAGAAGGCCUUCGGGUUGUAAAGUACUUUCAGCGGGGAGGAAGGGAGUAAAGUUAAUACCUUUGCUCAUUGACGUUACCCGCAGAAGAAGCACCGGCUAACUCCGUGCCAGCAGCCGCGGUAAUACGGAGGGUGCAAGCGUUAAUCGGAAUUACUGGGCGUAAAGCGCACGCAGGCGGUUUGUUAAGUCAGAUGUGAAAUCCCCGGGCUCAACCUGGGAACUGCAUCUGAUACUGGCAAGCUUGAGUCUCGUAGAGGGGGGUAGAAUUCCAGGUGUAGCGGUGAAAUGCGUAGAGAUCUGGAGGAAUACCGGUGGCGAAGGCGGCCCCCUGGACGAAGACUGACG